AGCGAACGCUGGCGGCAGGCCUAACACAUGCAAGUCGAACGGGCACCUUCGGGUGUCAGUGGCAGACGGGUGAGUAACACGUGGGAACGUACCCUUCGGUUCGGAACAACCCGGGGAAACUCGGGCUAAUACCGGAUACGUCCGCAAGGAGAAAGAUUUAUCGCCGAAGGAUCGGCCCGCGUCUGAUUAGCUAGUUGGUGGGGUAAUGGCCCACCAAGGCGACGAUCAGUAGCUGGUCUGAGGGGANGAUCAGCCACACUGGGACUGAGACACGGCCCAGACUCCUACGGGAGGCAGCAGUGGGGAAUAUUGGACAAUGGGCGCAAGCCUGAUCCAGCCAUGCCGCGUGAGUGAUGAAGGCCCUAGGGUUGUAAAGCUCUUUUGUGCGGGAAGAUAAUGACGGUACCGCAAGAAUAAGCCCCGGCUAACUUCGUGCCAGCAGCCGCGGUAAU
rnacentral:rRNA from 1 species